rnacentral:rRNA from 1 species
AUGGCCGGAGCGAUCGCGUACGAGGAGCAGCGCCGGAGGCAGGUGGAGGAGAACCAGCGGAAGCUGGAGGAGCUCAAGCUGCGCCACCUCUCCGCCGCCGUCAGGGAGGCCGCCACCCCCAAGCCCUCGCCGGCCAAGUCCCUGAAGCGGAAGCGGGUGCCGCGGGAGGCCGGCGAGGACGCCCCGAUCCGGCGGUCCGGCCGCGUCGCCAGCCUCCCUGAGCAGCCCAACUACCGAUUCGAGGAUGUCUUUCAUGUCCUCGAGAAGAAGAUCAGGAGGGGGCGCAGGACGACGACCAGCACAAGGAGCGACUUGAUUAAUCGAGUGUACGCUACAGACAAGGCCAGAGAGUAUGCCACCACCAUGGCCGAAGAGCUGCAGGCCAAGCUAGGGUCACGCUACCCCAGUUUUGUCAAGCCCAUGACGCAGUCACAUGUCACCGGAGGGUUCUGGCUGGGCCUCCCGUUGCCCUUCUGCCGGAAGCAUCUCCCGAAGCGUGACGAGAAGCUCACUUUGAAGGAUGAGCAGGGCGUCGAGUCCGAAUCGCUCUACCUUGCGCUUAAGAACGGCCUCAGUGCUGGAUGGAGAGGGUUCGCCAUCCAGCACAACCUGGUUGAUGGGGAUUGUCUGGUGUUCGAGCUGAUCAACCGGACGAUGUUCAAGGUCUACGUUAUCAGACAAAGUUCCUACUAUGAACGAUGA